UACGGAGGGGGCGAGCGCUAUUCGGAAUUAUUGGGCGUAAAGGGCGCGUAGGCGGCCCGGUAAGUCAAAGGUGAAAUCCCUCGGCUCAACUGAGGAACUGCCUUUGAAACUGUCGGGCUUGAGGCCGGGAGGGGGUAGCGGAAUUCCCAGUGUAGCGGUGAAAUGCGUAGAUAUCUGGAGGAACACCGGUGGCGAAGGCGGCAUCCUGGACCGAUAUUGACGCUGAUGCGCGAAAGCCAGGGGAGCAAACGGG
rnacentral:rRNA from 1 species